UACGUAGGGUGCGAGCGUUAAUCGGAAUUACUGGGCGUAAAGCGUGCGUAGGCGGUCCCGCAAGUCCGCUGUGAAAGCCCCGAGCUUAACUUGGGAACUGCAGUGGAAACUAUGGGACUUGAAUCCGGCAGAGGGGGGUGGAAUGCCACGUGUAGCAGUGAAAUGCGUAGAGAUGUGGCGGAACACCGGUGGCGAAGGCGGCUCUCUGGGCCUUACCUGACGCUGAGGAGCGAAAGCGUGGGUAGCGAACAGG
rnacentral:rRNA from 1 species